rnacentral:rRNA from 1 species
CCUACGGGCGGCAGCAGUGGGGAAUAUUGCACAAUGGGCGAAAGCCUGAUGCAGCAACGCCGCGUGAGCGAUGAAGGCCUUCGGGUCGUAAAGCUCUGUCCUCAAGGAAGCUAAUGACGGUACUUGAGGAGGAAGCCCCGGCUAACUACGUGCUAGCAGCCGCGGUAAUACGGAGGGUGAGAGCGUUAAUCGGAAUUACUGGGCGUAGAGAGCUCGUAGGCGGUAUGAGAAGUCGAGUGUGAAAUCCCCGCGCUCAACGUGGGAACUGCCUUUGAAACUGGCAAACUAGAGUGUGUGAGAGGAUAGUGGAAUUCCAGGUGUAGGAGUGAAAUCCGUAGAUAUCUGGAGGAACAUCAGUGGCGAAGGCGACUAUCUGGCACAAAACUGACGCUGAGGAGCGAAAGCGUGGGUAGCAAACAGGAUUAGAUACCCUUGUAGUC